rnacentral:lncRNA from 1 species
GUGUCAGCUAGUCUUGCUGGCUCUGACUAUGGUUUGUCCCUCCUGCAAUCCUGUGUGUCCAUACUCCUGGGAGACCAGUUCUCUCUGUGUGGAAUUUGUUUAUGAAGAGCUGUGGUACACGGUCCGCUUUAGGGUUCAGACAGAAACCAGGAGGAUCCUGUCCCCAGCUGUUCCUUGAUUCCUAUGUCCUAAUGGCUCUGGGGGAGUUCCUCUUGGGCCAAGAAUUUGAGCAGAGGUGUUGAUUUUACCUGUGCCUGCAGGUAUGUGUAUAUGUAGUUCUCCAAGUGGUAUUUGUAUAUGUAGUUCUGUGGCACAGGAUCAGCUCCAGACCCAGAUGGAAACCAGAAGUCUCCUGUCCCAGGCUGCUCCUUGGUUCUUGUGUCCUGAGGGUUCUGGGUGGAUCCCUCUGAGCAGAAAUGGUGGUCUUACCUGUACUCAUAGGCUUGUCUGCACUCCUGAGAAGCUUGCUCUAGUUGCAGCAGUAUUUG